rnacentral:tRNA from 1 species
GGGGGUGUGGCAGAGAGGCUUAAUGCACCAGACUGUAAAUCUGGCGGGAACUUAUCCCUUCGGUGGUUCAAAUCCAUCCGCCCCCA